UGAGUAAUAUUGGUCAAUGGGCGAGAGCCUGAACCAGCCAAGUAGCGUGCAGGAUGACGGCCCUAUGGGUUGUCAACUGUUUUUAUAUGGAAUAUAGUGAGGGACGUGUCCCUUAUUGCAUGUACCAUAUGAAUAAGGACUGGCUAAUUCCGUGCCAGCAGCCGCGGUUAUACGGAAGGUCCAGGCGUUAUCCGGAUUUAUUGGGUUUGAGGGGAGCGUAGGCUGUUUGUUAAGCGUGUUGUGAAAUGUAAGCGCUCAACUUGUAGAUUGCAGCGCGAGAUGGAGGACUAGAGUGCGCACAACGUAGGCGGAAUUCAUGGUGGAGCGGUGAAAUGAUUAGAUAACAUGACGAACUCCGAUUGCGAAGACAGCUUACGGGAGCGCAGCAGAAGCUACAGCUCGAAGGAGCGGGUAUCGAACAGA
rnacentral:rRNA from 1 species